AACGAACGCUGGCGGCAGGCCUAACACAUGCAAGUCGAGCGGACCCUUCGGGGUUAGCGGCGGACGGGGGAGUAACGCGUGGGAACUUGCCCUUUGCUUCGGAAUAGCCCUGGGAAACUGGGAGUAAUACCGGAUACGCCCUUUUGGGGAAAGAGUUAUCGGGGAAGGGUCGGCCCGCGUUGGAUUAGGUAGUUGGUGGGGUAAUGGCCUACCAAGCGCACGAUCCAUAGCUGGUGGGAGAGGAUGAUAAGCCACACUGGGAAUGAGACACGGCCCAGAAUCCUACGGGAGGCAGCAGUGGGGAAUCUUAGAGAAUGGGGGAAAACGUGAUCUAGCCAUGCGGGGUGAGAGAUGAAGGCCUUAGGGUUGUAAAGCUCUCUCACCGGGGACGAUAAUGACGGUACCCGGAGAAGAAGCCCCGGCUAACUACGUG
rnacentral:rRNA from 1 species